CAGCCUGCCCAGUGACAAAGUUCAACGGCCGCGGUACCCUAACCGUGCGAAGGUAGCAUAAUCACUUGUUCUUUAAAUGAGGACUCGUAUCAACGGCACUACGAGGGCUAUACUGUCUCCUUUUUCUAAUCAGUGAAACUGAUCUCCCCGUGAAGAAGCGGGGAUCAAAAUAUAAGACGAGAAGACCCCAUGGAGCUUUAAACUCACUAUACACCUCUGUGCCUUUAUGUCACUAGACACAAGAGAUCUGCGUACUAGUUUUAGGUUGGGGGGACCACGGAGUAUAAUUUAACCUCCAUAACAAAUGGGCUAACACCCUUAUCUACGAGACACAACUCUAAGAAUUACUAAACUAAUGCUUAUGACCCGAUAUUCGAUCAAUGAACCAAGUUACCCUGGGGAUAACAGCGCAAUCUACUUCAAGAGCCCAUAUCGACAAGUGGGUUUACGACCUCYAUGUUGGAUCAGGGUAUCCCGGUGGUGCARCCGCUACCGACGGUUCGUUUGUUCAACGAUUAAAACCCUACGUGAUCUGANNNNNNNNNNNNNNNNNNNNNNNNNNNNNNNNNNNNNNNNNNNNNNNNNNNNCCGAAACCAAGCGAGCUACUUCAGAACAGCCAGAAGGGCCAACCCGUCUCUGUUGCAAAAGAGUGGGAAGAUUCUCAAGUAGAGGUGACAAGCCUACCGAGCUUGGAGAUAGCUGGUUGUUCAGAAAAAGAGUUUUAGCUCUACCUUAAGUUUUUCUAUUAAACUAACAAAACCCCGAAACUUAAGAGCUAUUCAAAUAAGGCACAGCUUAUUUGAAACAGGACACAACCUACGCCACAGGGUAAACAAGAGUGCCUUAAAUAAAGUGGGCCUAAAAGCAGCCAUCUUUAGAAAAGCGUUAAAGCUUAUCUAUUCCCCACUCCCCAAUACCGUAAAUCUUCAUCAACCCCUCACCACUACCGAACAAUUUUAUAUUCGUAUAAAAGCUAUCAUGCUAGAACUAGUAACAAGAAACUGCCUUUCUCCUAAAUGUAAGCAUACACCAAGAUAGACCCUCUAUUGGUUAUUAACGUAAAUGCUAAGUUAUAGCAACACUUGCUAGAAAAUCCUAUAACCCCCAACGUUAACCUUACACCAGAACAUUACAGGAAAGAUUUAAAGAAAAAGAAGGAACUCGGCG
rnacentral:rRNA from 1 species